AAUCCAUUCCCACACACAGCCAUGAAUCAAUAAAAUAUUCUUGUAGAAUCUUAUAGAGUUUUAUUACUUUGCAUUAACAACCAUUGAGUAGUAAUGAGCAGUAAACUGAAGAUGAGGGUAAGGAUAAGUAAUAUCUGUUUUAUGAAGGCAAAAUUAACAGCGAGGUAUGUCUGAUUAUAGUUGGCAAUGACAGUCCAGAUUUACUUUGUUUUAGUGUUUUCUAUUUACUGAGCACAUUUUCAUUCAGCCUUUAGGCUAUGUGAAGGCAACAUCCUAAUAAAAAGUAUACUGUUAUGUUAAUCAUAUUUUACAAAAUUAAAUUCAUACCAGGAAAUACAAUAUGAUUUAAGUUAGAAAUUCUACAAUUGUGUUAUUGCAUCCAUGCAGAAUUUUAUUUUCUUUUGCAGCUUUGAGAUUUAGUCUUUGCUUCUUAAUCUGGUCAGAGGCGGAGUACAAAUGAAUGCAGUUCACCAAAGAAACAAUCAAUACUGAAAGUAUUCACCGAGUUAGCACUUCUGGCUGAUGGUAGUGCUGACCGUCCUUGCUGGAAGUCAUUAAUUUUACCUCCUUAUCAGAAAAGGAAUUUCACACUUGCUCAAAGUGGAAGACAGUGCUUCACUUGUAAAGCCCAGGUAGGGGCUGAGAACUGACCACUUCAUUGGAGUGUCCCUAAGUCAUAGAAAAGUAAUUUUCCUGGGACAAUUUUCCAGAAGCUAUUUUGCACAGUGCAAAGCCAAAAAAUGAAUCAGAAAUGCUGCUGGCUAUCACUCUGCUG
rnacentral:lncRNA from 1 species